CAGUAGCCGCGGUAAUACGAGGGGAGCUAGCGUUAUUCGGAAUUACUGGGCGUAAAGCGCACGUAGGCGGCUUUGUAAGUUAGAGGUGAAAGCCCAGAGCUCAACUCUGGAAUUGCCUUUAAGACUGCAUCGCUUGAAUCCAGGAGAGGUGAGUGGAAUUCCGAGUGUAGAGGUGAAAUUCGUAGAUAUUCGGAAGAACACCAGUGGCGAAGGCGGCUCACUGGACUGGUAUUGACGCUGAGGUGCGAAAGCGUGGGGAGCAAACAGGAUUAGAUACCCCGGUAGUCCCUGUCUCUUAUAC
rnacentral:rRNA from 1 species